CAGUAGCCGCGGUAAUACAGAGGAUGCAAGCGUUAUCCGGAAUGAUUGGGUGUAAAGCGUCUGUAGGUGGCUUUUCAAGUCCGCCGUCAAAUCCCAGGGCUCAACCCUGGACAGGUGGUGGAAACUACCAAGCUGGAGUACGGUAGGGGCAGAGGGAAUUUCCGGUGUAGCGGUGAAAUGCGUAGAUAUCGGAAGGAACACCUGUGGCGAAAGCGGCUCACUGGACAAUAACUGACGCUGAUGCACGAAGGCUAGGGGAGCAAACAGGAUUAGAUACCCCUGUAGUCCCUGUCUCUUAUAC
rnacentral:rRNA from 1 species